CCCGAGCUCCACCUUCUUCAGAGCAGGGACCGCAGCAGCGGGAAGAAGACAGCCCUGGAGGUCCCGGACCUGUGGAAGGCCAUGACGGGUUCCCCAAUCCCCACCCUCAGCAGGCCACCAAGAGGAGUCCGAGGGAGACCUUGGCCAAACCAGAGACGGCAGACCCGGGCGAGCUCAGCAAGAAAGCUCCCAGGGAGGGAGAGGUCCUGCAGUCUUAGAUGGCUCCACACCUCUCCUCUGCAUCCUUCUCUCCAGCUCCUCCUGAGCCCCCCUCUAGCUCCCUCCACUGAGACUAGGAUCUUGAAAUUAAGUCCCCAAAUCCUAUGUAGAAAAUUUGGAGUGUUGGCAGAA